AUUUCCUGGGCUUAUCUGGAUCUUCCUGCAGAAAGCCAGUCUUACAUGACCCUGUACAACCUCCUGGACUUUCCCGCGGGCGUGGUGCCUGUCAGGACGAGGGGGAACUGGCCUUCUACAAGGGGUACUACGGAGACAGUUCUGACAAAAAUUUCUUGGAGGCAGUAAGAGGAUCCGUCGGGCUUCCAGUGACUGUGCAGUGCAUUGCUUUGCCAUGGGAAGAGGAGCUGUGUCUCCGGUUCAUGAAGGAGGUGGACACCUUGGUCAAGAAUCAGAGGGGGCCCAAGUGACAGGCUCCUUUAACGGAGUAACAGCUCAAGAAACAUGGGGCUGGUUGUGGUGGCUCAUAUCUGUAAUCCCAGCAGUUCGGAAGGCAGAGGCUGGCAGAUCACUUGCCAUGAGUUUGAGAACAACCUGGGCAACAUAGCGAGACCUUGUAUACAUUUUCUUGGUGUUACUCCUGUAGCUCCUUACCCAAGUGUCCUCCUGAUGCCCCUUCCUUCUCAUGAAUACCAUGUCCUCCUCAUGUCUCCUUCUGGAACCCCACCAGGUUCCUUUCAUUUGUUGGUCCCUCUGCAUGGAUGUUCAGUAUUCCUCAGAUGGGCCCAGGAUGGGGAGCAGCAUGAGGAGCUCAAUAAACAUUUUCUGACUGGC